CUAUGAUUUACUAGAAAAACCAAAUCAUGGCGGAAGGAG
rnacentral:ncRNA from 1 species